rnacentral:rRNA from 1 species
AGUGGCGGACGGGUGAGUAACGCGUGGGCGACCUGCCCCAUACGGGGGGAUAACAGCCGGAAACGGCUGCUAAAACCGCAUAAGCGCACAAGGGCCGCAUGGCCUGGUGUGAAAAACUCCGGUGGUAUGGGAUGGGCCCGCGUCUGAUUAGCUAGUUGGCGGGGGAGAGGCCCACCAAGGCGACGAUCAGUAGCCGACCUGAGAGGGUGGCCGGCCACAUUGGGACUGAGACACGGCCCGAACUCCUACGGAAGGCAGCAG